AUCAACAUUCUCAUCAUGACAUUACACCACAGAAUUUUAUAAAAAAAACGUUAUUCUGUCAUUAUUCUAACACACAAUAAUCAUGGCAGCUAAAAGUAAAAAAUUGAAAACUUUGCAUGAGUUUUUUAUGCCAAACACAUCAAAACGAAAUUCCGGUGACAAUGAUCCAGAUGAUCCAGUAACAUUAGAACAGUGUAGUCAAACAGUGGUAGAAUCCGAAAAAAUUACUGUACAUGAGCUGUUAGGUAUUUAUUUACAAUUAUUUUAAUAAUGUUUUAUUUAACUUAUGAAUUAAUAAUAUUCAUUUUAUUAGCCUAACCUAACCUUGUAUUACCUAAUGUUUAUGUUCAGUUCUAGACUGUAUUUAUAGAUGCAUUGUCUCUAGUUAAAUAUUUAAUUUAUAACUUAUAAUAUAUUAUGUAAUAUGUAUAUCCUAAUUCCUAAUGAUUUUGUUUCAUAAAUGUCUUAUAUUGUGAAAUACCCUGUGGCCUGUAUGGCUGUAUAUUAACAUAUUAGUUAGUAGUAACUUAGUACCUGUCUAUUGUCUAAUAUGUAUUUAUUUAAUAACAUUGAUGUUAAAUGUUGUAAUUAAAUAUUUUGUAUAUAACUUAAAAAAAUUGUGUUGUUUAUUUUUUUUGUGUUGCUCUGUAAGAGUUAAUAUAAUAAAUAAAUUAUAGUUUAUAAGGUA